UUCUCCAGCAAGAGUUUGAAAGGAUAGGCCAUAGUCUUUCUGCUUUAUUUCCAUUUUCUUAAUGCUUUCCUUCCUCUACUUUAUUGCAGUUAUUUCAAGUGAUACUGUUUCUUUAUGAAUCACUAAUGAGCUGCUAAGAAGGUUGCACAGUUCACCAUUGUCUCUCAUAAAACAGGCUCCUUGUUCCUAUUUUGCUCCGUAGGGACUCAUUACACCGUGACCAACGGAGGCAGCAUCAGUGGCUCCACGCACUUGCUGGACCUCUUGGAUGAGCCGAUCCCGGGUGUCUGCACGUAUCAUGACUUCCACACCAUCGACUGGGUGUGGGAGAAGUGUAAGGGCCGAGAGAGGCACAGCAGAUCAACAGCAAAAAGAAAGAAUGAGCGUGGGAGAUAACGAAGAGCUUGUGUGACGCGUGGUCAGGGUGGCUCGUGGUGACACUAACAGGGCUGGCUGGCAUCAGGGGCGCUGGCUGGGCUGAUAGGCAUCGCUGCUGACUGGAUGACCCACCUCAAGGAAAGCGUGUGCCUCAGCGCGCCGUGGUACAGCCACGAGCAGUGCUGCUGGGGGUCCAACGAGACGGCGUUCAAGGAGAGGGGCAGGUGUCUGCAGUGGGCGGCGUGGGCCGAGCUGGGCAUCGGCCAGGCGGAGGUGAGGC